GUAAGCACAGUCCCUCACUCAGCUGGUACAGAAUCAUGCUGUUGUGGACGGAGGCAGGGAGAGAGAGAGUGAAUGAAUGAAACACAGGGCGGGAGGGGUGGACAGGGCACAGGGGUGUGUCAUCUUGGUCAUCUCUGCCUCUCUCUCUACAUCACUAGUUGGGGAAAGGGAGAGCUGAGACUGUGAUAAGGCGAACAGGGUUCAGCUGGCAGGGAGUUCAGGGGCCCUGAUCGUCAAGGGGCGGAGCCCAUAGACUUAAGAUAAUCCUCACCUGGAAAAUCUGUUCCCCCCAUCCCAGCGGAGCCUUCUCUUCUUCCAGAAAGAGUGUGGAAUGCUCCAGAAAUAUGCAAGACCCUCCAGAGAUGAGGAAGACAAUCACAGAGUGUCUGUUCUAAACAGUCCUUUAAUGGAGGCUGGGGGAUCCAAGUAGAUUUGAAUCUUAACCCUAGGCGUGAGACAGAAAUUCUCCCCUCAGAGCCUGUUUCCCCAUCUGUUUGGUAAGAGGCUUGAAGUGACUGAUUGUCUAAAGAGGUUCUGAGCUGAGAGUAUUCGGGUUCUAAGAAGGGCUGUGAGACAGUGCGGCCCUGCAGUAUCCUAUCAAUCCGGCUCUUUAAUUCCCCUCCUUUCCCUCUGCACUGGGAGACCUGCCUUGUAAACAAACGGAAGUCAGGCCAGGAGGCUCCGCAAAAUACACCACCUCUGCUGCUGCUGCUGCUAAGUCGCUUCAGUCGUGUCCGACUCUGUGCGACCCCAUAGACGGCAGCCCACCAGGCUCCUCCAUCCAUGGGAUUCUCCAGGCAAGAAUACUAGAGUCUCUGGGAGCCCAGGACCUUCACAAACAGCGCUCCGAUCACCAUUCUCUGCAACCCAGAGACCUGCCCUCCCUUUUCUGGUGUUUACAGAACAAUAAGAAAGCGAGGGUAGGUGCAGAAAGGCCGUGUCAGUCCAGGCCUCUGAGGGUGUGGGUGCCGAGAGGAGGAGCCGGCAGCCCAGACCUCUCCCCAUUGGGCAGACUCCACAGGAGUCAACGAGCAUUGCAAGACUCGGAUUCCUCUUCUUCCUUUCAUGCGUGUGAGUCUUUGGGCCUGUUCGUUAGUCGCUCAGUCAUGUCCGACUCUUUGCAACCCCAUAAACUAACCAUCCAGGCUACUCUGUCCACGUAUUCUCCAGGCAAGAAUCCUGGAGUCUCUAGCCAUUUUUUUGUUUGGAAUUAUCUUACCAGAAAAAUCUAUGCAUUAUUUUGAAUCAAGCUCAAAAGGAGGCCUUGCUACCUGAAGGUACAGACACUCAGACGUUCAGCCUUUCACAGUUGAAGUGCUUUUACAGACUGUCGUCGAUGGAGUAGCCACCAUGGAGGUUAAGGAGCCCGUAUGAGGGUGAUGCUCUCUGCACACUCCGAUUGAAGAUUUGAAGACCUGAUGGACCGUGCGUGUUAGGAGGGAUUUCAGUGGAGUGAAGUUCAGGAGGCGUGGAACUGACACCGGAGCUGCCGGCAAAAGUAGGCCUGACUUGGAAAAGGAAAGGCUCAGUGAGAGG
ensembl:lncRNA